UACGUAGGUGGCGAGCGUUGUCCGGAUUUACUGGGCGUAAAGGGAGCGUAGGCGGACUUUUAAGUGAGAUGUGAAAUACCCGGGCUCAACUUGGGUGCUGCGUUUCAAACUGGAAGUCUAGAGUGCAGGAGAGGAGAAUGGAAUUCCUAGUGUAGCGGUGAAAUGCGUAGAGAUUAGGAAGAACACCAGUGGCGAAGGCGAUUCUCUGGACUGUAACUGACGCUGAGGCUCGAAAGCGUGGGGAGCAAACAGGAUUAGAUACCCUGGUA
rnacentral:rRNA from 1 species